GCAAGCUCCGAGCAAGGGGGCGGUGGAGUACGGGGGGUGUGAGCGUUAAUCGGAAGUACGUGGGGUAAAGCGUGCGCAGGCGGGGUGUUAAGCGAGAUGUGAAAGCCCUGGGCUCAACCGAGGAAUAGCAUUUCGAACUGGCGAACUAGAGUCGUGUAGAGGGGGGUAGAAUUCCAGGUGUAGCGGUGAAAUGCGUAGAGAUCUGGAGGAAUACCGGUGGCGAAGGCGGCCCCCUGGACAAAGACUGACGCUCAUGCACGAAAGCGUGGGGAGCAAACAGGAUUAGAUACUCCAGUAGUC
rnacentral:rRNA from 1 species